rnacentral:sRNA from 1 species
GAUAUUGUAUAAAUGAUUUGCCUGCAAAUUCAAUAUGUCUUCAAAAUUCAUGUUUGUAUAUACAUAAGUAUAAAUUGUCUAUGUCAUAGUCUAUACAAUGAAUUAUCAGUAUGUAUUUUCCUCUGCGCCAGUACUUUGUACAAUCAUUUUCUGUGUUAUUUUGUCAUUAAUUGUUUCACCACUGCGUGUGUCAAAAAUUUUGUUUUAAAAUCUUGUUAUUACAUAAUUUUAUUCAUUGUGUGUACAUGUUGAGUACAGGUUUUGUUGGUAUCAGUGAGUGGCGUGCAUUGAUUGAACUUAUCAACUUUUUCAAUUAAUUUCCUGAAAAGCUGAUCAAUAUAUAUAACUCUGGUGUUAACUGUGUUAACUGAAGACUAAAAAGUCUGGUAUUGCAUUGGUUUGUAUGGUCAAAGCAAUUUUAUGUAUAAAGAGGAGUGGAUGCCUGUGGCCAUUUUUAUACUGUAUAAACCUCCUUUAGAAGAAGAACUCUAUAUAUAGAAAUAGGAAAACACUGACAUUUUAAAGUUAAUGUUUUUUUGGAAUUUUUCUUUACUUAUUAAUAGUUUUAAGCCUAAAAAAUCAAUUUUAAAAAUUCAAGGCAGAUCUUGUGUUUAUAAUAAUUUGCUGACCACCCAGCACAUAAUUUUAAAUCUUUUUGUUUGAUUAUUAAAAUGAGAAUGUAAUUACCACGGUGUCAUUUCUCUUGAAUAUUUGUCAGGUAAUAUGUUUUGAAUUCUCAUACUGUCUCAUUAGUGUUCAUCUUAAUUGCAUAUUAGAAAUUAAACUAUUUUGCUUUUUAACUGUAAAUUUAUAUGAUAUCCAUUCUGUCAAAAGUUUCAAACUCAGUCUCUUUAAAGCUUUCACCUAAUUUGCAAGAAAGAUAUAUACUGUUUUUGGAAGAAUGAGGACCAAGUUUCCCUUUUAUCUCCUUAAUUUUAAGUGGGAAAUCAUCCAAAUACAGAAACGUUUAAUCAAUACACAGAAUAACAUAUUAACUCCCAACCCCAUUUUAAUACUGUCAGACGACUUUAUAGAAUUUAUGUGCCACAAGAAGAAAGGCAUUUUUACUAAAAAAAAAAAUUGUGUAUAUAUAUUUUUAUAUGUUGCUCACGUGCAUGAUUUUAUGGAGUAAUGUGGACAUUUGAGUGUAUGCAUGUACUUAAAAAGAAAAAAAAAACUAUUGUGAAACAUGAAAGAAGUGAAAGGAAAGCAAGUGUGAAAAGACGACAAUUGUGAAUACAUGCAGUUUGUGAAUAAAAGUUGUAAAAUGU